rnacentral:rRNA from 1 species
GACGAACGCUGGUGGCGUGCUUAACACAUGCAAGUCGAACGGGAUUUAGUAAACAGAAGCCUCGGUGGAAGAUUACUAAUGAGAGUGGCGAACGGGUGAGUAACGCGUGAGCAACCUGCCUAUGACAGUGGGAUAGCCUCGGGAAACCGGGAUUAAUACCGCAUAAAAUCGUAGAAACACAUGUUUUAACGGUCAAAGAUUUAUCGGUCAUAGAUGGGCUCGCGUCUGAUUAGCUAGUUGGUGAGAUAACAGCCCACCAAGGCGACGAUCAGUAGCCGGUCUGAGAGGAUGAACGGCCACAUUGGAACUGAAACACGGUCCAAACUCCUACGGGAGGCAGCAGUGGGGAAUAUUGCACAAUGGGGGAAACCCUGAUGCAGCGACGCCGCGUGAACGAAGAAGGUAUUCGUAUCGUAAAGUUCUGUCCUAUGGGAAGAUAAUGACAGUACCAUAGAAGAAAGCUCCGGCUAAAUACGUG